rnacentral:tRNA from 1 species
AGUUCCAUAGUGUAGUGGUUUUCACGUUCGCCUAACACGCGAAAGGUCCCCGGUUCGAGUCCGGGUGGAACUA